rnacentral:rRNA from 1 species
GUUUACAGCCAUGCCACCCUGAACAAGCCCAAUCCCAUCUGAUCUCAGAAGCUAAGCAGGGUCGGAUCUGGUUAGUACUUGGAUGGGAGACCACUUAGGAAGACCAGGUGCUGUAGGUG